GAUGAAGAACGCAGCGAAAUGCGAUAAGUAAUGUGAAUUGCAGAAUUCAGUGAAUCAUCGAAUCUUUGAACGCACAUUGCGCCCGCCAGUAUUCUGGCGGGCAUGCCUGUUCGAGCGUCAUUACAACACUCAGGCCCCCGGGCCUGGCGUUGGGGAUCGGCGGAGCCCCCCGUGGGCACACGCCGUCCCCCAAAUGCAGUGGCGGUCCCGCCGCAGCUUCCAUCGCGUAGUAGCUAACACCUCGCGACUGGAGAGCGGCGCGGCCACGCCGUAAAACACCCAACUCUUCUGAAGUUGACCUCGAAUCAGGUAGGAAUACCCGCUGAACUUAAGCAUAUCAAUAAGCGGAGGA
rnacentral:misc_RNA from 1 species